GAUGAACGCUGGCGGCGUGCUUAACACAUGCAAGUCGAACGAUCAAGCUCAGCUUGCUGGGUGGUUUAGUGGCGAACGGGUGAGUAACACGUGAGUAACCUGCCCUUCACUCUGGGUUAAGCCUGGUAAACUAGGUCUAAUACCGGACAGGUGCGCCUACCGCCUGGUGGGUGCUGGAAAGAUUUAUCGGUUUUAGAUGGAUUCGCGGGCAAUCGGCUUGUUGGUGAGGUAUUGGCAAACGAAGGCGUUGCCGGGUAGCCGGCCUGGGAGGGUGACCGGCCACACUGGGACUGAGACACGGAGCAGACUGCAACGGGAGGCAGCGGUGGGAAGUAUUACGCAAUAAGCGAAAGCCUGAUGCGACGACGCCGCGUGCGGGAUGACGGCCUACGGGUUAUAAACAUAUUUGAGUAGAGAAGAAGCGAAAGUGACGGUACCUGCAGAGAAAGCACCGGCUAACUACGUG
rnacentral:rRNA from 1 species